UGGGGGCCCCUUGCCCCCGCCAAGGAAGUUCCUCGGGUGUCUGUUAGACAUUGAGCGCUUUGUGAUAGGCCGCGGGGCCUGCCGGCUGUCAGCCCACUCCCUUAAGGGAACUUGACAGAUCUUAAAAAAAAAUCAAUUUUAAGCUCACAUGCCCCAGUGGGUGCCAAAGCCACUUCAGAGAGGCUGAAAGAUGGCUGAGUCGACAGGAUUUGACUUCCAGAGGUAGAAAGCAGCUGAGCUUUAAUUUCAACAUUCCUGCAGAAUGCUCCGGAAAGUCUGGGCCAGCCAUGUGCAAAACUAUGUCCCAGAGUUGAGCAGUGAUGAAACCAGCUUUUCUGCGAUGGGAAAGGAGGGAAACCUCAACGUACAACCAAAGAGCAGCAGCAGGGUAUGAAAGAAGCAACUUUCUUGAUAUGAUAAGUUGAUUAAGUUUCACUGUCUAUGACUGUCUUGUCAGCACAACAUGGUUUUUCUGUCUUUUGACAUUUUAAGUUGUAUACUGAAGCCUUUGUCAGUUUCCUUCCUGCAUUUUCACUGGCUAUCAGAAUUUCAAGGAGUAAGUUUUGUACAGUAUUCACAAUUGUGAACAUGAUAACAGAUCUAACAUUCAGACCAUGCAAUGAAAUGGUCCGUAAAGAGGAGGUCAAAGACAUAUGGUAACAUCUGACAAAAAAAGAGCAUGUGUUGGAUCAGAGCUGAUGGACUAAUCCUUUCUCCUGAGCCCCUGAGCACAUUUUCCAUUCUAUGUAUCUUGAGAAGGAAAGAGAAGCACAUGCAUGGAUUUGGUAUUUGAUGACUGUAGGGUGAAGAACAAAACAAUAACUGUAUAUAGGCUUUUUAGUAGUAAAAUCACCAUAAAGGAUGCUGAUGAAAGUUGUUCAAAACAUUGAUUUAAUUGUAGGAAGGGACAUGACACAACCAGAAGUUUUGAAAAUAAGGAGAGGUAUUUGAGAAGCAAGAUCUGGAACAGAAUGAACAAGAAACUUGAAUGUGGGAAAGCCCACAAGAUUUAGGGGGAAAAUAAAUAAAUAAAUAAAUAAAUAAAUAAAUGUGGUGAGCCUUCCUUGACUUUUCAAAGAUGAUAAUUUCAAUGACUGAAAUUUUCCCCCAUACAGAAUAUCAGGGUGACAGGAUGAGGCCCGUUACAGUGAUCAGGACCAGAGAUGAAAACCUGUUGGAUGAGAAGUAUCAGCUUUGUGGACGGACAAAAAUAAUCUUACCAGGGUGGGUGACGAUAAAGGCUGGACAUCGGUGCUGUGGGACUACCUGGCUCAGCUGCAGCAUCUUGCUCCAUUUCUCACCUCUAAUUCAGUGUUUUAAUUUUCUAAACCCACCUGCAGCUGAGGGUGGACUGAUAAUAUUGAAUGAACAUAAAUACGUGAUUAUGAUCCAUUUGUAAUAAAAUUGGGUAAAGGCACCCUCCUUUCCUGUGCAUAGGCGAGUACUUGUGCCCUAGUGCUGCAUAGAGCCCUGACUGGCCUGGAGCCUGCCCAAUAAACCACCCUGUGCAGCUAGCAUGCAAAGGGACUGGUGAAAAAGACUUUUCAUUCCCAACCUUGAAAUCCCUGCAGCAGGACCCCAGGCAUUGAGCAGGAAUAGUUGUGUAUAGUCCAAUUUUUAAAAAACUUCAGAAGCCAGAAAGAUUUCAACAGAUACAUUUGUUUGUCUGAUUUUUGCUGCCCGGUGCCAUAUAGAGAGGUUUGCUGAAGUAUUAACUAUCACUUUAAAUUCUUCUCGCUUUGAGUCAUUCCAUCCUGUAUGUAAUUUGAACAGGUUUUUGCAUAAUUAUUUCUCCUAAUAAUUACCAUUAUACAAUUGCUAUAGCUGCCAGUUUUGUUUUUCUUUUCUGCGAGAGAAUAGCAGAAAUGUAUUACGCAUUUGUGUAACUUAUGAUCUUUGAUUCAUGUUUAAAAUGCAUGGAAUAUUUUUCAUUUUCUGUUUGAGGCAAUACCUCAUCUGGGAUCAUAUCUCACAGUGUAAGUUUACACUGUUUAAAUGGAUGCCUUGUACUGCAACUGGGUAUAAUCUACAAUGAAAAAGCAAAGGAGGUCAACAGAAUUGAAUUUUUAAGGCGUUACAGGACUGGCAAAUAUUAAUGGCAGCAGGUAGAGGCAUACUGCAGCUGGACCGUAAUGCAGAAAGGCCUCGUGUAUUUUUUUUUCCUUUUAAAUAAAUUUGAUUUGACCAUCA